rnacentral:rRNA from 1 species
UCGAGAAUCUUCGGCAAUGGGCGAAAGCCUGACCGAGCGAUGCCGCGUGCGGGAUGAAGGCCCUCGGGUUGUAAACCGCUGUCAGUUGGGAGGAAGGCUCUGUGAAGAGCAGAGUUUGACCUAUCUUCAGAGGAAGUACGGGCUAAGUUCGUGCCAGCAGCCGCGGUAACACGAACCGUACGAACGUUAUUCGGAAUUAUUGGGCUUAAAGGGUGCGUAGGCGGCGCUGUAAGUCGGGUGUGAAAGCCCACGGCUCAACCGUGGAAUUGCGCCCGAUACUGCAGUGCUUGAGGGAGACAGGGGUGAGUGGAACUGAUGGUGGAGCGGUGAAAUGCGUUGAUAUCAUCAGGAACACCGGUGGCGAAAGCGGCUCACUGGGUCUCUUCUGACGCUGAGGCACGAAAGCUAGGGUAGCGAACGGGAUUAGAUACCCCCGUAGUCC